rnacentral:rRNA from 1 species
AGGGUAGACCUCCCACCCUUGUGUAUUAUUACUUUGUUGCUUUGGCGAGCUGCCUUCGGGCCUUGUAUGCUCGCCAGAGAAUACCAAAACUCUUUUUAUUAAUGUCGUCUGAGUACUAUAUAAUAGUUAAAACUUUCAACAACGGAUCUCUUGGUUCUGGCAUCGAUGAAGAACGCAGCGAAAUGCGAUAAGUAGAAUUGCAGAAUUCAGUGAAUCAUCGAAUCUUUGAACGCACAUUGCGCCCCUUGGUAUUCCGGGGGGCAUGCCUGUUCGAGCGUCAUUUCAACCCUCAAGCUUAGCUUGGUAUUGAGUCUAUGUCAGUAAUGGCAGGCUCUAAAAUCAGUGGCGGCGCCGCUGGGUCCUGAACGUAGUAAUAUCUCUCGUUACAGGUUCUCGGUGUGCUUCUGCCAAAACCCAAAUUUUUCUAUGGUUGACCUCGGAUCAGGUAGGGAUACCCGCUGAACUUAA